CUCUGGACUCUCUUGUGGACUGCUGGAAUAUUUUGCUUUCACAGCUGUUGGACAUGACCCACUGAUGUAGCAAGAGACAGUUGCUCAGCCUCUGAAAAGAAAGACCAAACGGGAUGAAAAAAAUGGAUCAUGGACUAUCUUACAUUUAAAGAGUCUUGUUUUAUGUGAAACAGUUCCUCUUUGGAAGAUUUGUUUUCCUCCAGUGAACCUCAUGUCUGAUCUCCAGAGAUACGUUUUAUGUCAACCGUUCAAGAUUCCUGCUCCAUGAACAUAGCUGGGCUAUUUUGAUCUGGCUGCUUACAAGGCUAUGGUCACUUAUCCUUGGAAAUGAAUGACUGAUGUGGAAAUGUGAGCAACCAUCUCUCAAGGGGUAUGUAGAAUAAUUUCUGUAAUUAAAUAUAUUUGCUUCUAUCUCUGUCAUCUUGAGAUCUCUGCAUAAUGACAACAGCUCCUGAUAUACAGAUAAUAUUUCACAUUAGACAAAACAUUUGCAUGAAACAUGUUAGUUGGUCCCAUGUGGCAUCUCUCUUAGAAGAAGUAGCUGCUGUUGAAAGAAGUAGCGUAACUUGUCCAGGGAUAUACAGAGGGAAUGGAAGACUGGGGAAUUAAGGCUAGUCAAAUACUUCAAAGACGAAUGUCCCUUUCUGCAGGGACAGUGUCUUCUGCAUUGGAGCAAGAUCUCCAUUCUUCAGAGUAGUGUCGUGCAGAGAGGGAGCCUCUUCCCAUCGUGUGAGCCAGAGGCCAAGGCUAUUUCCAGACAGCUGUCCCUUUCUGUGUGGACCAGUAUUACCGAGGCUUGGACUUCUUCCUGGGGACAAAGACCCCUUCAAAAUCUUCUUUAAUCAUCUUCAUCAGUACAAUAGUUUCAUUCCUGGCCAACUCUGCUCUAUAUCCAUAGGCUAUUUAUCUAUAUGCAGAGGUAUCAGAGUGCUGAAUUUUACCUCAAAUCAUUCAUGUCUGGGUUAUUCUUCCUGACAUGUGAAUCCAGAGUACAGACUGAAGUCCACUUCUGCAGCCAUGCAGGGCCUAGCCCUAUUUAGCAGGCAGCAUGCUGACUCCUCACUGUGGAAAGCCUGUCCCUGUGCUAAGUGUAAACAGAUGUCCCCAGUGCCAGAUUGUGGGGCCAACCACCCACUUUGCACAAACAUGCAUCAUCAGGCCACAAUCUGAAGGUGUAAUGAAGUCAUCCUGCUUCCCAUAAAAGCGUGAGUGAACCAGGGUUUGUGGGUAUAGGAAAGCUUGUCAGAAUGGCCAUGUCAGAGCAAAAUUUGUGUGGUUUAAUGGAGUAAGAAUGCUAAAGUAGGCCAGUGAAAAUUCUCCUUAAAACUGGUCCUCUGACAUCUGAGCACUUUCAAUCCUGUGCAAAUGAGAUAGUGAGAUUAGGAGGCAGGAGUGACUUCCUCAGGCUCUCACAGCAAUCCUGUGGGUUAGGGUUAGGGUUAGUGACUGUCAAAAACCAGCACACCCAGUCCUGUACUCACCCACUGUGCAAAGAUGAUGGCCCCACUAGUUUUCUAAUAAGCUCUGUGUUUCUUAUGUCUGGAAUCUUAAGGGUU